rnacentral:rRNA from 1 species
CUGGCUCAGGAUGAACGCUGGCGGCGUGCCUAAUACAUGCAAGUCGAGCGAAUGGAUUAAGAGCUUGCUCUUAUGAAGUUAGCGGCGGACGGGUGAGUAACACGUGGGUAACCUGCCCAUAAGACUGGGAUAACUCCGGGAAACCGGGGCUAAUACCGGAUAAUAUUUUGAACUGCAUAGUUCGAAAUUGAAAGGCGGCUUCGGCUGUCACUUAUGGAUGGACCCGCGUCGCAUUAGCUAGUUGGUGAGGUAACGGCUCACCAAGGCAACGAUGCGUAGCCGACCUGAGAGGGUGAUCGGCCACACUGGGACUGAGACACGGCCCAGACUCCUACGGGAGGCAGCAGUAGGGAAUCUUCCGCAAUGGACGAAAGUCUGACGGAGCAACGCCGCGUGAGUGAUGAAGGCUUUCGGGUCGUAAAACUCUGUUGUUAGGGAAGAACAAGUGCUAGUUGAAUAAGCUGGCACCUGA